AUCUUUUUCUGGUUCAUAAACAUGAUGAUUGGGUGACAUGAUGGUUUGUGUGACACAUGCCUCUCUUAAAUCUUGUUACAUACUUGGCACAUUACUCAUCUGACG